UCCCUGGUGGUCCAGUGGUUAGGAUUCGGUACUCUCACUUCUGAGGGCCCAGGUUCGAUCCCUGGUCAGGAAA
rfam:Ovis aries breed Texel chromosome 3, whole genome shotgun sequence.